CCGUCUUUCUGAUCAUUCUCUUGGUCCUGUUCUGCUACCGCAAGAAGAAAAAAGGGGAGAUGAAAUCUGACCCCAGAGAGGUGACCUACACUAACGUUAGAAUCAAACAGGAACAAAAACACGGAAAGCGAGAAAAGUGCCCAGGAACUGGUCCAGUCUACUCUGAAGUGGCCUUUAACACCAAAGGUGGCGCCUCAGCUGGUCCCAGGGACGUGAC